AUUGAACGCUGGCGGCAGGCCUAACACAUGCAAGUCGAGCGAGCGGCGGACGGGUGAGUAAUGUAUGGGGACUGCCCGAUAGAGGGGGAUAACUACUGGAAACGGUAGCUAAUACCGCAUACUAUCGGAUAACCCAUACGGGAUUGGCUAGUAGGUGGGGUAAAGGCUCACCUAGGCGACGAUCCCUAGCUGGUCUGAGAGGAUGAUCAGCCACACUGAGACUGAGCCACGGCCCAGACUCCUACGGAGUCAGCAGUGGGGAAUAUUGCACAAUGGGCGCAAGCCUGAUGCAGCCAUGCCGCGUGUAUGAAGAAGGCCUUAGGGUUGUAAAGUACUUUAAGCGGGGAGGCGUUACCCGCAGAAGAAGCACCGGCUAACUCCGUGCCAGCAGCCGCGGUAAUAC
rnacentral:rRNA from 1 species